rnacentral:rRNA from 1 species
UACGUAGGGUGCAAGCGUUGUCCGGAAUUAUUGGGCGUAAAGCGCGUGUAGGCGGUCCGGUAAGUCCGCUGUGAAAGUCGGGGGCUCAACCCUCGAAUGCCGGUGGAUACUGUCGGGCUAGAGUGCGGAAGAGGCGAGUGGAAUUCCUGGUGUAGCGGUGAAAUGCGCAGAUAUCAGGAGGAACACCUAUUGCGAAGGCAGCUCGCUGGGACGUAACUGACGCUGAGACGCGAAAGCGUGGGGAGCAAACAGG